rnacentral:rRNA from 1 species
CCCUUAGAUGUUCUGGGCCGCACGCGCGCUACACUGACGAAGUAAGCGAGCAUGUCCUACGCCGACAGGUGCGGGGAAUCUUGUCAAACUUCGUCGUGAUGGGGAUUGAUUAUUGAAAUUCUUGAUCAUCAACGAGGAAUUCCUAGUAAGCGCGAGUCAUAAGCUCGCGUUGAUUACGUCCCUGCCCUUUGUACACACCGCCCGUCGCUACUACCGAUUGAACGGUUUAGUGAGGGCCUCGGAUUGGUCUCGGCCCGCUCUUUACCGGGCGGCGCCGUUGGUCGAGAAGACGCUCGAACUUGAUCGUUUAGAGGAAGUAAAAGUCGUAACA